GAGUUUGAUCGUGGCUCAGAUUGAACGCUGGCGGCAUGCCUUACACAUGCAAGUCGAACGGCAGCAUGAUCUAGCUUGCUAGAUUGAUGGCGAGUGGCGAACGGGUGAGUAAUACAUCGGAACGUGCCCUGUAGUGGGGGAUAACUAGUCGAAAGAUUAGCUAAUACCGCAUACGACCUGAGGGUGAAAGUGGGGGACCGCAAGGCCUCAUGCUAUAGGAGCGGCCGAUGUCUGAUUAGCUAGUUGGUGGGGUAAAGGCCCACCAAGGCGACGAUCAGUAGCUGGUCUGAGAGGACGAUCAGCCACACUGGGACUGAGACACGGCCCAGACUCCUACGGGAGGCAGCAGUGGGGAAUUUUGGACAAUGGGCGAAAGCCUGAUCCAGUAAUGCCGCGUGUGUGAAGAAGGCCUCGGUUGUAAGUAC
rnacentral:rRNA from 1 species